CUCAACCAACUGAGCCACCCAGGUGCCCCAACAUCUAAAAAAACGCAAAGAAUACCAUAAAAAACCUGGAACAGCCCAUCUGCAUGGAGCAAGUCCCUCGUGAGCACUCACGGAACCAGACACACGUCCUUCUCCUGUUCCGCAGUGCAGAUGUGUGACGGAGCAUGCAUCUAUGAAGCUAUGCCAGGGAACCGAGGCUGCCAGAGCCUCCACCUUCUGGAACAUCGCUGGUUGCCAUGGCAAGGGAAAGGGAAAUGGCAAGUCAAAUACUGCAUCUGAAAGUCUUCUGCCUGAAAAUGAUACGAAACAUUUCAUUUGUGUCUCAUUGGCCAGAGCAAGUCACAUGGCCUGCGAAACAUCAAGGUGGCAAAGUAUUGUAUUCUUUUUUUGCUUGGAAAGAGACAAACCAGACAUAUUGAAGAAUCCCAACGACUACUGAAGUUUGCCCUUUCUGCUCCUGCACAUUUCAGUUUACUUCUCUUUCUGCAUGCAAAAUACACUCAAGCCUUCCUCCAGGGAAU